rnacentral:rRNA from 1 species
UACGAAGGGGGCUAGCGUUGCUCGGAAUUACUGGGCGUAAAGCGCACGUAGGCGGCUUUCUAAGUCGGGGGUGAAAUCCUGGAGCUCAACUCCAGAACUGCCUUCGAUACUGGAGCUUGAGUGCGGCAGAGGAGACUGGAAAUUCCUGGUGUAGCAGUGAAAUGCGUAGAUAUCAGGAGGAAUACCGAUGGCGAAGGCAGGUCACUGGGCCGCGAACUGACGCUGAGGAGCGAAAGCAUGGGGGAGCGAACAGG